GCUACUCUUUUGAAUGUUGAGGUUUUUGGGUAUCUGAAAGAAAAUGGUGUGCUUCAUCCAUUAGCAAAUUUGCAAGAGGAAGCAAAUGUCUUCAAACACGAAGGACAGCUCUGUGGGUGACAUUAAAAGCGAGCAUCAGGAUCCAGUGCUGCAAACUAUUGUGUUUCCGAAGCUGCCGGACUAGAUGUUUGUUGGCUUCAGUGCACAGGGCAGCUACUCUUUUGAAUGUUGAGGUUUUUGGGUACCUGAAAGAAAAUGGUGUGCUUCAUCCAUUAGCAAAUUUGCAAGAGGAAGCAAAUGUCUUCAAACACGAAGGACAGCUCUGUGGGUGACAUUAAAAGCGAGCAUCAGGAUCCAGUGCUGCAAACUAUUGUGUUUCCGAAGCUGCCGGACUAGAUGUUUGUUGGCUUCAGUGCACAGGGCAGCUACUCUUUUGAAUGUUGAGGUUUUUGGGUACCUGAAAGAAAAUGGUGUGCUUCAUCCAUUAGCAAAUUUGCAAGAGGAAGCAAAUGUCUUCAAACACAAA